rnacentral:rRNA from 1 species
GGACUACCCGGGUAUCUAAUCCGUUUUGCUCCCCACGCUUUCGUGCCUCAAUGUCAGGAACAGAAUAGUUAACUGCCUUCGCCGUUAUUGAUGUUCUAGUUCAUAUCUAUGGAUUUUACCCCUCCACGAACCAUUCCGUUAACCUCUCCUGCCCUCUAGUCGGACAGUAUUACCAGCUUCCACGAGGUUGGGCCUCGAUUUACCACCGUUAACUUAUCAAACCAUCUACGCACCCUUUACGCCCAAUAAUUCCGGAUAACGUUCGCCACCUACGUCUUACCGCGGCUGCUGGCAC